GACGAACGCUGGCGGCGUGCUUAACACAUGCAAGUCGAGCGCGAAGGGGCCCUUCGGGGCCCUGGAGAGCGGCGAACGGGUGAGUAACACGUGGGUAACCUGCCCCAAGGACUGGGAUAACUCCGGGAAACCGGUGCUAAUACCGGACGUUCUUGCACUCCGCAAGGAGUGCAAGCAAAAGGUAGCUUCGGCUUCUGCCUUGGGAUGGGCCCGCGGCCUAUCAGCUUGUUGGUGAGGUAACGGCUCACCAAGGCGACGACGGGUAGCUGGUCUGAGAGGACGAUCAGCCACACUGGGACUGAGACACGGCCCAGACACCUACGGGUGGCUG
rnacentral:rRNA from 1 species